rnacentral:rRNA from 1 species
AGCUCCAAGAAUACGCGGAGGAGGUGGCCCGGGUCGGCGUCGGCGCCGUCCGGCGCGGGCCACGGGCCUGCUUCCAAGUGCGUCUGCGCGCCGGCCACCCACGCCGGGUCCUUCAAGUGCCGCUUCCACCGCACCAACUCCCAGGGCCACGGCCACGGCUAGGGCCAGGGAAGCCGCCCUUCUUCACCCACUUCACCGGCCGCGGCCAACGCGGUGCCGCAACACCCGGCCUCGCUGUCCUCGUCCUCGAGCACCGUCGCAACCCAGUGA